rnacentral:rRNA from 1 species
UACGUAGGUGGCGAGCGUUGUCCGGAUUUACUGGGCGUAAAGAGCGCGCAGGCGGUCGUGCAAGUCGCGUGUGAAAGCCCCCGGCUCAACUGGGGAGGGUCACGCGAUACUGCUCGACUCGAAGGCAGGAGAGGGAAGCGGAAUUCCCGGUGUAGUGGUGAAAUGCGUAGAUAUCGGGAGGAACACCAGUGGCGAAGGCGGCUUCCUGGCCUGUUCUUGACGCUGAGGCGCGAAAGCUAGGGUAGCAAACGGG